GCAGCAGUGGGGAAUAUUGGACAAUGGGCGAAAGCCUGAUCCAGCAAUGCCGCGUGAGUGAUGAAGGCCUUAGGGUUGUAAAGCUCUUUUACCAGGGAUGAUAAUGACAGUACCUGGAGAAUAAGCUCCGGCUAACUCCGUGCCAGCAGCCGCGGUAAUACGGAGGGAGCUAGCGUUGUUCGGAAUUACUGGGCGUAAAGCGCACGUAGGCGGCGAUUCAAGUCAGAGGUGAAAGCCCGGGGCUCAACCCCGGAACUGCCUUUGAAACUAGAUUGCUAGAAUCCUGGAGAGGUUAGUGGAAUUCCGAGUGUAGAGGUGAAAUUCGUAGAUAUUCGGAAGAACACCAGUGGCGAAGGCGACUAACUGGACAGGUAUUGACGCUGAGGUGCGAAAGCGUGGGGAGCAAACAGGAUUAGAUAC
rnacentral:rRNA from 1 species